rnacentral:rRNA from 1 species
CAAUAGCGUAUAUUAAAGUUGUUGCGGUUAAAAAGCUCGUAGUUGGAUUUCUGCUGAGGACGAUCGGUCCGCCCACUGGGUGAGUAUCUGGCUCGGCCUUGGCAUCUUCUUGGAGAACGUUGCUGCACUUGACUGUGUGGUGCGGUAUCCAGGACUUUUACUUUGAGGAAAUUAGAGUGUUUCAAGCAGGCGCACGCCUUGAAUACAUUAGCAUGGAAUAAUAAGAUAGGACCUUAGUUCUAUUUUGUUGGUUUCUAGAGCUGAGGUAAUGAUUAAUAGGGAUAGUUGGGGGCAUUCGUAUUUAACUGUCAGAGGUGAAAUUCUUGGAUUUGUUAAAGAUGGACUACUGCGAAAGCAUUUGCCAAGGAUGUUUUCAUUGA